CCCAUUAAAGCGGUACGCGAGCUGGGUUCAGAACGUCGUGAGACAGUUCGGUCCCUAUCCGGCGUGGGCGUAGGAUAUCUGAGAGGAGCUGUCCUUAGUACGAGAGGACCGGGAUGGACUGACCUCUGGUGUACCGGUUGCACUGCCAAGUGCAUGGCCGGGUAGCCAAGUCGGGACGGGAUAAACGCUGAAGGCAUCUAAGCGUGAAGCCCCCCUCAAGAUGAGAUAUCCCAUCGCAAGAGUAAGACCCCUUGAAGACGACGAGGUAGAUAGGGCAGAGGUGGAAGCAUGGCAACAUGUGCAGCUGACUGUCACUAAUAGGUCGAGGGCUUAACCAA
rnacentral:rRNA from 1 species